rnacentral:rRNA from 1 species
CCCUUAGAUGUUCUGGGCUGCACGCGCGCUACACUGAUGCACUCAACGAGUUUACGACCUUGUCCGAGAGGAUUGGGUAAUCUUUUUAAAAUGCAUCGUGAUGGGGAUAGAUUAUUGCAAUUAUUAAUCUUCAACGAGGAAUUCCUAGUAAGCGCGAGUCAUCAGCUCGUGCUGAUUACGUCCCUGCCCUUUGUACACACCGCCCGUCGCUCCUACCGAUUGGGUGUGCUGGUGAAAUGUUCGGAUCGGCCGUUUGUCGCGGUUUCCGCGUCAUGUGGCUGAGAAGUUCAUUAAACCCUCCCACCUAGAGGAAGGAGAAGUCGUAACA